rnacentral:rRNA from 1 species
UUCCUGGUGUAGCGGUGAAAUGCGCAGAUAUCAGGAGGAACACCGAUGGCGAAGGCAUGUUCUCUCGGCUGUUACUGACGCUGAGGAGCGAAAGCAUGGGGAGCGAACAGGAUUAGAUACCCUGGUAGUCCAUGCCGUAAACGUUGGGCACUAGGUGUGGGGAACAUUCCACGUUUUCCGCGCCGUAGCUAACGCAUUAAGUGCCCCGCCUGGGGAGUACGGCCGCAAGGCUAAAACUCAAAGGAAUUGACGGGGGCCCGCACAAGCGGCGGAGCAUGCGGAUUAAUUCGAUGCAACGCGAAGAACCUUACCAAGGCUUGACAUACACCGGACCGGGCCAGAGAUGGUCUUUCCCCCUUGUGGGGCUGGUGUACAGGUGGUGCAUGGUUGUCGUCAGCUCGUGUCGUGAGAUGUUGGGUUAAGUCCCGCAACGAGCGCAACCCUCGUUCUAUGUUGCCAGCACGUGAUGGUGGGGACUCAUAGGAGACUGCCGGGGGUCAACUCGGGAGGAAAGGUGGGGGAUGACGUCAAAUCAUCAUGCCCCCUUAUGUCUUGGGGCUUCCACGCAUGCUACAAUGGCCA